UACAGAGGGUGCGAGCGUUACUCGGAAUUACUGGGCGUAAAGCGCACGUAGGCGGCUUUGCAAGUCGGUUGUGAAAUCCCCGGGCUCAACCUGGGAACUGCAUCCGAGACUGCAUUGCUAGAGUAUGGGAGAGGGAAGCGGAAUUUCUGGUGUAGCAGUGAAAUGCGUAGAUAUCGAGAGGAACACCUGCGGCGAAGGCGGGUUGCUGGGCUGACACUGACGCUGAGGCGCGAAAGCUAGGGGAGCGAACGGG
rnacentral:rRNA from 1 species